rnacentral:rRNA from 1 species
GCCUACGGGGGGCAGCAGUGGGGAAUAUUGCACAAUGGGGGAAACCCUGAUGCAGCGACGCCGCGUGAGCGAAGAAGUAUUUCGGUAUGUAAAGCUCUAUCAGCAGGGAAGAAAAAUGACGGUACCUGAGUAAGAAGCCCCGGCUAACUACGUGCCAGCAGCCGCGGUAAUACGUAGGGGGCAAGCGUUAUCCGGAUUUACUGGGUGUAAAGGGAGCGUAGACGGCAUGGCAAGUCUGAAGUGAAAGCCCGGGGCUCAACCGCGGGACUGCUUUGGAAACUGUUAAGCUGGAGUGCAGGAGAGGG